GAUGAACGCUGGCGGCGUGCCUAAUACAUGCCAGUCGAGCGAACAGACGAGGAGCUUGCUCCUCUGACGUUAGCGGCGGACAGGUGAGUAACACGUGGAUAACCUACCUAUAAGACUGGGAUAACUUCGGGAAACCGGAGCUAAUACCGGAUAAUAUAUUGAACCGCAUGGUUCAAUAGUGUAAGACGGUUUUGCUGUCACUUAUAGAUGGAUCCGCGCCGCAUUAGCUAGUUGGUAAGGUAACGGCUUACCAAGGCAACGAUGCGUAGCCGACCUGAGAGGGUGAUCGGCCACACUGGAACUGAGACACGGUCCAGACUCCUACGGGAGGCAGCAGUAGGGAAUCUUCCGCAAUGGGCGAAAGCCUGACGGAGCAACGCCGCGUGAGUGAUGAAGGUCUUCGGAUCGUAAAACUCUGUUAUUAGGGAAGAACAAAUGUGUAAGUAACUAUGCACGUCUUGACGGUACCUAAUCAGAAAGCCACGGCUAACUACGUG
rnacentral:rRNA from 1 species